AGAGUUUGAUCCUGGCUCAGGAUGAACGCUGGCGGCGUGCCUUAAGCAUGCAAGUCGGACGAAGAUAUGAGAUGUCGCAAGACAGAUUGUUGAUUAGUGGCGGACGGGUGAGUAUAAGCAGGGAACGUACCUUGAACUAUCGCAUAGCUCGUCGAAAGACGGGGUAAUACGGUAUGUGGACCUUACGGUCUAAAGACGCAAGUCGGUUCUAGAGCGGCCCUGUUCCCAUCAGCUUGUUGGUAGGGUAACGGCCUACCAAGGCGACGACGGGUAGGGGGUGUGAGAGCACGACCCCCCACAAUGGCACUGAGACACGGGCCAUACACCUACGGGUGGCAGCAACUGGGAAUAUUCGGCAAUGGGCGAAAGCCUGACCGAGCGACGCCGCGUGAGGGAUGAAGUCUUUCGGGAUGUAAACCUCUUUUAUAUAGCCGUCGAGGCU
rnacentral:rRNA from 1 species